CGGCGGUGGUCAGCGGCGCGCUGUUGCUCGCGCCGUCGGUGCCGGCGCGGAUCGGGUAGCGGUUCGCGCCGCUGCCGUCGC
rnacentral:tRNA from 1 species